CUUGGGUUGAAUUGAAACAAUUGCUGUUUUUUUGGUAUUUUGGGGUAUUUUAUUAGGAUCCACAUUAGCAGUUGCCAAAGGCAGCUAAUCUUCCUGGUGUCCACACAAAACAUGAGCCAUGACAUAAUACAGAACAUUCAUAGACAAGAACAAUGUAGAUGACUUUGCAAAUGCUAUAUAGGCCUAAAGAGUAUCAUUGAUGAUAUGACAUAAAGUAUGGUUACAUUUAAUUUGCUCGGUUAAACCAACCUUUCGGGAAUUACUUUGAUAGCAACAGUGAAUAUAUUUCGUUAUCCAUUUCAGCAGAUCUCUCAAUACUUAUUCUCAUGAUAUGACAUUGGUACACGUAGUAGUCAGCGACAAGCGACAAGCAACAAAGCUAAGCAGUGCUGGGCUUGGUUAAAACCAUGGAUGGGAGAUCAAAUUAAUACCUGUUAGACAACUCUCCAGUAGUAGCUGCCUAAGACUUUAGUUUUUUUCCGACAGUCUAUAUAAUGUUGAAGAUCUGACUUGGUUUCAAAGGUACAAAUUCAACAUAUUUUAUAUGGUUUCUCGAUGUUGAAAAUUGGUCACAAUGAUAACAUAAUCCUUCAAUUUCACUCUCAAAACAACAGUUUAUGUUGACUUUUUUUUCAAAUCCUAUGUAUUUUAAACAUAUAUUCUAUGUCACAAUACCUUGACAAAUUAAGUGGAAAAAUCCAAGACAACACAACAUUCUCUCGCACAAACCCAAUUCAUAGACCUAGAUAAGAGUCAACGAUCAAUUAUUAAUGAUUCGCUAUUUAAAAUCAGACUGGUGAUCUCAUCUGAUGAUCAUACAACACUGCAGAGUAUCCCAUUCAGCUAAACAUUGGUCAGGCUGCACCAGUUACACGGACCUGUUUCUCGUUGUCAUGGUCGCGUCACACAACAUUCACGUCUGAAGGACCCUUACCAUGUUCUCAACAGGCUGCACCAUGAUUGCUAGAAAAAUCCUUACUGUAAGAACGCCACUUACAGUCCUCAGUAUCAUGAUUGAUUGAACUAUUAUUGACCCUUUAAGAUCUUGCGAAAAAGUCCAUACUGAAACCGUAUUGUUAGCCUACAGAAGAACACUCGAAUUACAACCUGGAACAAAAGUGCGCGUUUCCUUGAACUGCUGACUAGCUGAGGAAACUGAGGGCGUCUUUGCACUGCAGUAACCUUCGAUUUCAAUUUCCUCAAGAAGUCCAUGUACUGUACCCAAACUGUUCUCAGUUGCUGGUGGCCGGGAUGGGGUAUCUCAGCUCUUUGCAGGUCUCCUCCUGUGUACUCAUUCUCUCUGGCCCCAGAGCAGGGCCCUCAGGGAGGGGGCAGGAGGACUCCUGCUGGGGUGUUCUGGUGAGGGGACAGCCCUCUACCCCACUCUCGACUUGAUCCACCUUCCUCUCCGACUUGUUGUAUCCCAGGACAACCGUCCCCGGAGAGUAGAUGUAAAUGGACCCUGAAUCAAACACCAAGCACAAACAUUAGUCAAUUAAACUAUUGAAACAGGUGACACAUACAUUCCUAUCUGUUAUGCACAGUAAAUGCUGAUAUAAAAC
ensembl:lncRNA